GACGAACGCUGGCGGCGUGCUUAACACAUGCAAGUCGAACGGAAAGGCCCUGCUUUUGUGGGGUGCUCGAGUGGCGAACGGGUGAGUAACACGUGAGUAACCUGCCCUUGACUUUGGGAUAACUUCAGGAAACUGGGGCUAAUACCGGAUAGGAGCUCCUGCUGCAUGGUGGGGGUUGGAAAGUUUCGGCGGUUGGGGAUGGACUCGCGGCUUAUCAGCUUGUUGGUGGGGUAGUGGCUUACCAAGGCUUUGACGGGUAGCCGGCCUGAGAGGGUGACCGGCCACAUUGGGAUGGAGAUACGGCACAGACUCCUACGGGAGGCAGCAGUGGAGAAUAUUGCACAAUGGGCGGAAGCCUGAUGCAGCAACGCCGCGUGCGGGAUGACGGCCUUCGGGUUGUAAACCGCUUUCGCCUGUGACGAAGCGUGAGUGACGGUAAUGGGUAAAGAAGCACCGGCUAACUACGUG
rnacentral:rRNA from 1 species